GACGAACGCUGGCGGCGUGCUUAACACAUGCAAGUCGAACGGAAAGGCCCUGCUUUUGUGGGGUGCUCGAGUGGCGAACGGGUGAGUAACACGUGAGUAACCUGCCCUUGACUUUGGGAUAACUUCAGGAAACUGGGGCUAAUACCGGAUAGGAGCUCCUGCUGCAUGGUGGGGGUUGGAAAGUUUCGGCGGUUGGGGAUGGACUCGCGGCUUAUCAGCUUGUUGGUGGGGUAGUGGCUUACCAAGGCUUUGACGGGUAGCCGGCCUGAGAGGGUGACCGGCCACAUGGGGACUGAGAUACGGCCCAGACUCCUACGGGAGGCAGCAGUGGGGAAUAUGGCACAAUGGGCGGAAGCCUGAUGCAGAAACGCCGCGUGCGGGAUGACGGCCUUCGGGUGGUAAACCGCUUUCGCCUGUGACGAAGCGUGAGUGACGGUAAUGGGUAAAGAAGCACCGGCUAACUACGU
rnacentral:rRNA from 1 species